rnacentral:rRNA from 1 species
AAUAGAUACCCGGGUAGUCCACGCCGUAAACGAUGAGUGCUAAGUGUUAGAGGGUUUCCGCCCUUUAGUGCUGCAGCUAACGCAUUAAGCACUCCGCCUGGGGAGUACGGCCGCAAGGCUGAAACUCGGAAAGGUAAGUUGACGGGGGCCCGCACAAGCGGUGGAGCAUGUGGUUUAAUUCGAAGCAACGCGAAGAACCUUACCAGGUCUUGACAUCCUCUGCCAACCCUAGAGAUAGGGCGUUCCCCUUCGGGGGACAGAGUGACAGGUGGUGCAUGGUUGUCGUCAGCUCGUGUCGUGAGAUGUUGGGUUAAGUCCCGCAACGAGCGCAACCCUUGAUCUUAGUUGCCAGCAUUCAGUUGGGCACUCUAAGGUGACUGCCGGUGACAAACCGGAGGAAGGUGGGGAUGACGUCAAAUCAUCAUGCCCCUUAUGACCUGGGCUACACACGUGCUACAAUGGAUGGUACAAAGAGCUGCGAACCCGCGAGGGUAAGCGAAUCUCAUAAAGCCAUUCUCAGUUCGGAUUGUAGG